UACAGGGGGUGCAAACGUUGCUCGGAAUCAUUGGGCGUAAAGCGCACGUAGGCGGUUCGUUAUGUCGGAUGUGAAAGCCCUUGGCUUAACCGAGGAAGUGCAUCCGAAACUGGCGAGCUAGAGUACUAAAGAGGAUCGCGGAAUUCCCGGUGUAGAGGUGAAAUUCGUAGAUAUCGGAAGGAACACCUGUGGCGAAAGCGGCUCACUGGACCAUUACUGACGCUGAGGCACGAAAGCUAGGGGAGCAAACAGG
rnacentral:rRNA from 1 species